AGUGGCGGACGGGUGAGUAACGCGUGAGAAUCUGCCUUGGGGUCGGGGACAACCACUGGAAACGGUGGCUAAUACCGGAUAAGCCGAUUGGUGAAAGAUUUAUUGCCCGAAGAGGAGCUCGCGUCUGAUUAGCUAGUUGGUGAGGUAAGAGCUCACCAAGGCAGCGAUCAGUAGCCGGUCUGAGAGGACGAUCAGCCACACUGGGACUGAGACACGGCCCAGACUCCUACGGGAGGCAGCAGUGGGGAAUUUUCCGCAAUGGGCGAAAGCCUGACGGAGCAAGACCGCGUGAGGGAGGAAGGCUCUUGGGUUGUAAACCUCUUUUCUCAGGGAAGAAGCUCUGACGGUACCUGAGGAAUCAGCCUCGGCUAACUCCGUGCCAGCAGCCGCGGUAAUACGGAGGAGGCAAGCGUUAUCCGGAAUUAUUGGGCGUAAAGCGUCCGCAGGUGGCGAUUCAAGUCUGCUGUCAAAGCACGGGGCUUAACUCCGUAAAGGCAGUGGAAACUGAAUAGCUAGAGUGCCGUAGGGGUAGAGGGAAUUCCCGGUGUAGCGGUGAAAUGCGUAGAGAUCGGGAAGAACAUCGGUGGCGAAAGCGCUCUACUGGACGGCAACUGACACUCAGGGACGAAAGCUAGGGGAGCGAAUGGGAUUAGAUACCCC
rnacentral:rRNA from 1 species